rnacentral:rRNA from 1 species
UACGUAGGGAGCAAGCGUUGUUCGGAUUUACUGGGCGUAAAGGGCGCGUAGGCGGCGCGACAAGUCACUUGUGAAAUCUCCGGGCUUAACUCGGAACGGUCAAGUGAAACUGUCAUGCUAGAGUGCAGAAGGGGCAAUCGGAAUUCUUGGUGUAGCGGUGAAAUGCGUAGAUAUCGUUUGGAACGCCAAUGGUGAAAACAGGUAGCUGGGGCUGUGCUGACGCUGAGACACGAAAGCCAGGGGAGCGAACGGG